ensembl:miRNA Gm22030 predicted gene, 22030
AUGUAUGUGUGUAUGUAUGCAUGCAUGUAUGUAUGUAUGUAUGUAUGUAUGUAUG